UGCAGAGGGCCUGUGGGCUCAGAUGCUGCCUGAAACAAGCAUCACACAUUAGAAAAGCUGCAAAGAUUUGACCCAACAGCUGCUGCAUCUUCUGCAGGGAUUUAAAGCACUGGAGCCCUUUCGUAACCUGGCAGGAAAGUCAGGCAUUUAUUUUUUUAACAUGUGCACAAAUGAUAUAUAGAAAGAGAGGUAUUUAUGUAUACACACACAGAGCCACAUGUGAGUAUGUAUAUAUUUACAUAUUUGUAUGUAUAUGAGUAGAUAGACAGAUGAAGAUGGACAUAUACUUGACUAAAAAAGACACUUGGAGUGGCCAAUUAACAACCAAGCACUUCAUUAUCUAGUUCAGCACUGGACUGAAAUCCUGUGCACCUCACAGGCUCAGCUAGUAAAUUAAAAUGCAACCUCUUCUUCUGUAGCCUGUGUGACACAUGGCAUGAGUGUGCAGCCUAAGGACCAGCAGCAGCUAACCUGCUACUGAGGACCAGUGACCCAUUUCCAUCUCAGUGGCUGAAACUGUGCCUAAUAUCUUUUUAAAGCCCCCAUGGUGGGGAACAAAAUGAGGUUGAGAGGGAAGAGACAGCAAGAGUGGGGAAAGCUGCUUUUUUGGAGAUAUGGUGGUUCCUGGUGUCAAACAAGACGUUACCAGUCCCUGCUCUGGGGUGAGGAUUCCAGCUCCGUUACCUUUGAGGAGAUGGCUUUUGCCACUCAGCUGAAUCCUGGGUCAAUGGCUCAUCAUUUCUUCCUGUGGUUUGUCCCAUUCCAAUGUCUUCCUUCCCCGUGCCCAGUCCUCGGUACUCAGGUCCUGUUUGAGACUCAAGCAUUAGGUCAGCUACUUCAUUUGUUGUUGCAGUGCAUUCAGCGCCUACUGAAACUGCCACAGCCUUUUAUACAUAAAAUAGAUAUAAUAUUUCUAGAGAAAUGAUAAUAUAUUAUAUAUAUUGGUAUGUGUAGAUAUACCAAAUAUACAUAAAAGAUAUAAAAGAUCUUUUAUAAAAGAUCUGUAAAAAGACAUCUGGCUGACCAUCCAAUACUGCCCCAACACCUGUGUCACCCACAAAUGGGUGCAGAAACAUAUCACCCAAACCAAGGCAACUGAAAAACCAGGCGCCAACAGUCAGUGUAUGGUCACGCACCCACAGUGAGUGUAUGCACACCGUGGCUAUGCUUGUUAGCCUGUUUCUUGGAAGUGAAAGUAUAGGGUAAGUUACCCCACAACAUAUGCUUUUUUCAUGAGAGGAAAGCAUUUACAAAAUUUACAAGACAGUUCUAUAGCUGUAAUAGGAGCUUGUACUGUACAUGCUUCUUAUGGCGCCUCGUUACUGGGCUCAUGCUAUAGAGACCUCACUGUUAUCUGCAGAAAACUUGGUCUCACUGGGCAUUUUCUGCACCACGCUUUGCAUUCCUCCUCUUUUCCCCAACCAUCCUUCCCCAACAAAGGCUCUUUUUUCAGGAGAAUUAAGGCGCAAAUCAUCAUAUCUGUUCCAAGGGCAGAGUGCGUUGGUCUUACUCUGUGAGGAGUACUGGCAUUCAUGGGGCUCCAACAGCUGGAUCUGAGCAUUUCCUUUAAUUGAACAGGUUUGCAGUCUCUCUGUGCUGAAGCAAUUCUCCACAUCACACAAGCCUGCAUACCAGAAUAAAAUGAAAAUUUAAGAGCGCUGGCUAACAAGACCGAGAAGCUCAUUGUUUAAACAAGAGGCUGAUUGUCUGGGUACUCAAGUGCCCCAUUCCUCCAACAUUAAACCCACACGAGGGACAGCAGCCUAAUCCACAGCUUGCCGCCAGGUGGUAUAGAAAUUAAUCUUCCACUUACCCGGGCUAUUAGUUGCGGUAUUCAUAAAGGUUUGCAACCCAACGAGGCAAGUGACUAAAAUUUUCUCCUUGUCAUAGAGGGUCAUGGCAACGUAGUGAUAUAAAAUAUCAGCCUGUCCCCUGUGGUGAGGAAAGUGUGAAUGAUGUGCAUGGGGAGGGGGGGGCAGGCGGGUGGGGAGAAUGGCACCCCAGCACCUUCUGGUUCAACAUGUGCAGCCCCAGGCUCUCUAACUGCACAGUGAAUAUGUUAGGGAAUAGGGGAUGGACUGGGAAAACCCAGGCUCACCAAGAACCUGAGCACAGGCCAGCAUAUCAUGCAGGGCUGAGCAAGUUUGGUGUUUAUGAAGAAAGGAAAUAAAUACUGAUUUUUCUCACAUUUUAGCAACAUCAAAACUCCCAUUUCUAGUCUGACAGGCCUCCUGCGAGUGCUGGAUACACAACAGAGUGACCCUCAUUAGGUCUCCCAAAAGCUCAGGACAUGUUUUGGAUCUGCUUGCCAGGACAUUUAACUCGUCUUCCUAACAGGGUAUUAGCAGAACAGAAGAGGAAGAGAAAUCUAGUCCUUUAUUAGUCCGCUGCUCCCUUAAAGUCCAGGGAGGAAAGGGAAAAUACUCAGCAGCAAGCAGGUGAUCAAAACAGGGACCACAUAAACAGAAACAUUUGGAAGGGUACAGCCUCGCGAAUGUUCAGCAUGAUUGCUUCCAGUUUUCAUCUCCUCACAUUUCACUGCAGACGUAAUUCGUCGCAAAGCACUGCCAAAACUUUUCACAACACCAAGGGACAUAGAGUUUGAUACAGAUAAUAAUAUUUACAAAUAUUACAAAUUUUCCCCCCAUACUUUCCUGGUGUUUUCCCAAAAGCUUGCAAUCCCAUCUGGCUACAGGUUAUCUUUCUGCCCUCUUAAUGACUUGCCUAGCCUCAGGAGCUCACAGUUGUGCCACAGGGAGAUGGCAGCCUCUUCCUUUGCAUAUGCGGGGCUGACAUAUCUUGCUGUGCAAAUGGAAAAGCAAACAGUCAGGGCCAAGCGCAAGUCAGUCCCUCACCAUGUGUUUGUGCAUGACUCUGACUUGGUGCCCAGGUAUGUCUUCAGGUCAUCCCAGGUUAUGCCCCAAGCUGGAGAAACAUUUUGCAAAACACAACAGCUUUUAACAAACAGUGACACCACAGUCCCCCUUUGCUACAUAUAUUCCUCCUGUCUGUGUCCUCACAUGGCAGCAAUUUAACAGUUUAUGCACCAACUUCUUCCACAUCUUCUGUCAAAUUUCCAGCUAUAUCAAAUUUUUAUUUUUCCAGGGUUUGAUUAAGUUAAAGGUCUAAAUUUUUGCCAGAUAAAAGUAGAACUGAACAAAUCUGAAAGGCUUUAAUGCAGGGUUGUUUGUUGUUUGUUUUUUUUAUGGAUCCCAUGAAUAGCAGCAGAGCUAAUUCAGAGCUUGGACUUAGAGGAAUUUGAAUCCAAAUUAUUUUAGUUCCUCUUUUGGCUUGCUUUAUAAAACAUACAGCCAGUAAUUCCACAGCCUCUCUCAAACUCCUUUCUAUAAAUAACAAUUUACCAUUGAAAAGAAAUGUAAAGGGUCAGAGCUAUGCUCAGAGAUUCACAUAUCACUCACAAAAGGAGCAAGUUGGACACAGGCUGAAAAGUAAAUUUCCCAGAAUGGGAAGAACUGAAGAAAUAAGAUAUUUAAUUCCUUCUGGUUCCUCAUCUUUACUUAAUCUGGUAUUAAUCCCACCAGCAAGCACUGCUGCACAGUGAGUCCCGAGACAACCUCACACCUGGCAAAGAGCAGAAGCAAGUCUGCAGUCCCACCACUAACCCCCAUUCUUAGUUGCCAGUGGAUCAAGCCUUUGGUAACUCCUUGAAUCACUCUCUGCACUGAUGUGACCUCACCUUGAGUGCUGUGUGCAGUUUUGAGCAUCGCAAUAUAAAAAAGGCACUAAGCUUUUAGAGAGUGUCCAGAGAAGGGCCAUAAGGAUGGUGAAGGGUCUGGAGAAGAAGCCUUAUGAGAAGCAGCUGAGGACAUUCAGUUUUGUCAGCCCGGAGAAGAGGAGACUGAGGGGAGACCUCACUGUGGUCUUCAAGGGGAAAUGGAGGGGAAGGUACUGAUCUCUUCACUCUCAUUACCAGUGAUAGGACUAGAGUUUCCUCUAGAAAUGGCAUGAAGCUGAGUCAGGGGAGGUUUAGAUUCGAUAUCAGGAAAAGGUUCUUCACUUAGAGGAUGGUUGGGCACUGGAACAAGCUCCCCGGAGAAGUGGUCACAGACCAAGCCUGUCUGAGUUCAAGAAGCAUUUGGGUAACAGACCCUAAUACUGUUUCCAUUUGAGAAGGUACAAAUAUUUCUCUUAUAUAGCUUACUGAAACUUGCGGCUGUAACAUCACUGCAAUCUGUUUUCUCCUGGAAAAGUUUGUUACUCAGUGUGAGAAAACCAUUUUGUUUAAUACUAAACUUUCAAUUAAAGCAUAUUUGUAUUUUAUAAGCACUGAGAAGUUAAAUAAGUUGUCUCUCUAUAUAUCAUAUCUCUAUAUAUCAUAAAUAUAAAAAAAUUACAGCUGGGUCCAUUGUCUGGUAAAAAAAUAAAAAAGCCAUCUCUGCUACUUGAUUUGUCUUGAAACACAUAACUGAGUUGCUUUUCCCACUCAUAGUCUGCUAUUCUUUAUACAUAAAGCCUACUUUCUAGGAGCACUUAAAAUAUUUGUACAUGUCUACCACAGUCCUAGAUUUAGCCAUGUGCUACUCUGAGCAGAUGGAAAUUAGGGUGGAAGCGUGUGGUUUACAGGAGUGACAGUCUUUAUGGAAAAAAACCCAAAAAAACAACUCACACCAAAAUUAGCCACUCAUGGGCUUUGUGCAGUCAUUGCUAUUGAAUACAACUGGGCAGAGGAAUAUUUGCUUUACACAUGCAGCAUUUUUCACACUGUGGUUAAGACACAGCCCCACGACUGCUGCAGGCACCACAACCUCAGAGAAAUACUUUGAGCCAAAUUCUGUUCUUUUAGAAAUCCCCUUCCACAGCUGUGAAACUUUUGUGGCCAUCUGUUCUGCACAAACCCAGCAUCGUUUGCUGAGUACUCCACCUCAGCAACCUGGAAAUCCCAGCCUGGUGAGCAUCUCCCCUCUUGCACCCUGUUAUCAUCCACUGAGAGCCAUUAUGACAUUUUUUUCUUUCAACCUUACACAGCUCUCACUUUCACAUUGGCCCUUCUGGCCCCAUCUUCUAAAAUAUGUCUUAGAAAAUGGAAGUUCCCAUCCAUACACACUUGGUCCACACAUAGUGAAUUCAGUGGGAGCUCUUGGCAGAGGACCACCCUGCCUCCAAAUCAGGGCCUCCUCUCAUCUCUAAACCAAUUUUGAAAAUGCAACAGCACCUGCCAAGCAAGGACAAAUCAUUAAAACAUCUCAAAUUGUCACUGUUCCCCUUUUGUUCAAAGGAAACAAGGAACACUAGAUGGCCCACAACCCAACAGCUAUCCAAAGACAGAAGGUCAUCUGCCACUAAUCCACUACAGACUCUGUAACACAUCAUACAGGGACCAAGGGCAUUAGGGCCCCAUGAGACAAAGUCUGGGAGCACUGAUGAGCAAGUCCAUCUAUCUCCCCACAGCUCAGCUCCCAGUCUGUAACACAGGGCUCUUCCCUUGGGAUGGAUAUUCCGAUAUUACACUUACAGGCUGCAAGAUCAUAAGAAACAAACAAAAAUACAUUUUUUUUUAAGACUAGUGAUUCCUUCUUCCAAUCGUUCUCCAUUAUAGAAUAUUCUUUAUGUCCUUCGUCAGUCUUGUACUUGGUUACAGAUGGAAAAUAUUAGCUCUGGUUUACAAAACAUGGCCCCGUUUCCUGUAACACAGCACAGGUUGGACAAAUCUGUCAUUUGAGUAGUGUGUCUAUUCUGUGGCCAAUUCUGUAAUCUACAAGCAAUGUGAUCCUAAACAAGGAAUCUCAUGUUAGCAGCCAAGAUUGGAAAAUCCCUGUUUAGUGUGAUUGCUGCCAAAACCAUCUCACUUGCUAAGGACAAGCUAAUUUUCAAUCUGCAGUUUGGGAGCUGUUGGUCUUACUCUUCAGUUCUUUUUUUGUUUGGUUGGUUUUUUGUUUUGUUUCACUUGUUUUUUUUAAGAAAUAAAACAUGCCCCAUUUUCUAAGAUGACACAAACAAACACCUGAUUUAUAAAUGUACAAAAUGGAUUUAGAAGAGUUUAGGAUAUAUGAAAACAUAUUCCACUCCCUAUUUAUUAAAAAAAUAUUCUGUUUUUGAACACAAUUUGAACAAAUGACUUCUUGCAAAUCUGAAGAGUUGUAAUUCAGAACAAAGAGCAACAAGACUGUUGUGUACAAAUAAGAGGAGAAGAGCAAGGAAACAAAGAAAAAAGUGUUAUAUCACAGAGAUAAGACAGAUCAAGGAUGAUCUAGAUACAGCUUUAAAUGAGAACUUGACCUCAGUUUUGAUCAUCUCAUAUCCCCACUGCUAUUAUUUAUAUCGCCUUGAUCCAUCUUGCAAACUAAGAUGGAAGUAAAGCUCAAGAAAUUUAAUAUAUCCAGGUUGGCAGACACAGAAAUGAAAGGCAGAAAAAGCUACAUAAAUUAUUAAUUAUAAGUUUUUCAGGUUGCAGAUGCUUCCAGCUGAUAAAAAAAAGAAAUGCAGUGCCAAUAUUUAAAAGUAGAGCUCAGAGAAAUUACUCAAAAGAAUUACAUUUAAGUAUUUAGUGUUUUUGAAGAAAUCUUGAAGGAAAGGAGAGAGGAGCUUGAUUAGACAAAGGAGAAGGCAAGCGUAUAAUAUGCACCAACUCCAAAACAGUGUGAUCUUUCUUACACUCUAUCACUAGAGGAGUCCUCAGAAGACAUGGAGGAGUAUUCGUGUCACUACACAAGUGUCAACAGUAUCUCCUUCAGUUGCUAUGUUUCAACUCAGUAUUAAAGAAAGGAGAAUUUCAUUUUGAAAUAUGUGCAGGGAGAGGUCACAGAAAACAAUCUUGAGCCAGACCUGGCCUCAUUUGGUAUCACAUGUACAUUUUCCAGGGUUUGAAUUCUUCUGCCUUUGCUCUUCUAAAUGCUCCUUCUGUAGUUUCCUACAUGAAGAGAGUCCUUCUGUUUAAAGAAAUUUGGGAUGGCAGGUUGUGGGGUUUUCUUUCUUUUUUUUUUUUUUUUUUUUUAAAGUUAGAUAUUACUAAUGUUAAUUUUUCUUCCCUUUUCACUUCUUGUAAAAAUUUAAAUUCAUACACAUUACAGCAUUUCACACUUUGCCAGCCUACUGAGCUCAGGGGUUGAUGGCUUAUCUUAGUACAUGGGUGGUAAAAUAGGAGGAGGAGGUUGCACUGUCAGAGCAAUCAAUGUCUGGAGCAGUUUCUCGUGGAGAGAUGUAUGAGCAAGACUCAAGGCUCUAAGGUUGAGCUUGGUAAAGUUAGGAGGACUGUCCUAUGUUUCCUAUGACAGAGAUUUUUAUGGGACAGGAACCAUGAUUUUCCACGUGUUACUGACAUGGCAUCCUCUAAGCAUUACAAUCCAUGUGCUGUUGUCAAUGUCUGCCUGGCAGGUUUGUACUUUGCCAUCUGCAAAAUGAAGGGUCAACUUCGUCCUGCCCAAUUUGAUAAUGCAACCCACACAAAAAAUUUCAAUUUUAAUUCCCCAAGCUGCCUCAGCUCAUGAGGUUUUUAUCUCCUAUCCAGCACACUUAGUUACACUGAAGAAAUCCCUCUUAGAAAGAAUACACUGCAAGCGUUGGACUCAGUUAUGUGAUUAUCCAGCACUUCUCUGCAUCUCUGGCCCUUCAUCUGUGUGGCACAGUCUGGUCCAGACCAACUCCCACUGGGAAACACCAGCGCUGAAAGCCUCAGGGAAAUUUCUAUGGCCUCCUAAAGAGCAUCUCUCAUUCUCUCAUCCCAUGCAUCAUCUCUAGCAGAGUGCAGAAGCUAAUAAUAUCCCUCUGCUUCUGUUAUAUAGCAUUUCCUCCUCUUUAACUUUUACGGGUUGCAUUACCAGCUGCUCCUUUGCCUCUGCCACAUAACCAAGUGUCAAAAGAAGGCAUAAAUCAGUUUAUGGUAUUCAUGAAAUGGAGAAAUUGGUGCUUUCUUUCCUUCAGAAGGACUAGAAUUUCAAAUGCAGCUUCUAAAUAUACUUUAAGAUUAAAUUAUUUUAGUUAGUAUUUAAAAGAUUUUUUAAGAGACAAUGCAAAUCCAGCUUUUCUUGGAGAAGGCAUAUACUGAGGUUUCCUCAAGAAAGUCACAGCUACUGGUUGGCACAAGAGGGACAAAGCCACAGAUCCCAACGAGGGACACACUUGGCCAUGACAGCCAAAACCCUUCCCUGCUGCUGUUGUACUCUUGAAAACAUCCUUGUUGGAGAGCUGGAGCUAAAGAGUAGGUUGGCCACAGGUAUACUGGACCAAAAUCCCAAGUCAAAGUCUCCAUGUGUCUCACCCUGUCCAUCCCCUGUAUACCAAUUCCCUACUUUUUUUUUACCAGAGACAAAAAGCCUCAAUACAAGACUACCAUCAGGGAAAUGAGUUAUUCCAAACAACUCUCUUGUGGUUUGCUAUAACUUUUUCCUUCAAUUGAUAUUUCUAAUAAAACACAAAGUAUCAAUAUUAGUAUUUAUUGCUUCCAAAUAUAAAUACAGAAAUUGUACAUUAAAAGUGAACCACGUAUUUGAUUAUGAAUGUAUAUUUGAUUUAUUCUUAUCAAAUUGACAAAAAGCUGUUCUCUUAGUAUUUAUGUUAAAAUACUUUGUCAAGAUAGUUUCCUGAAAUAUUUUCUCAGCAACAGUGAUUAGAUUUCAAGCAUUAGAUGGAAAUAAUGAAUGAUUGACCAAGGGGAAACAAAAUAGAGUUAAAUAUUUUUUUUUAAUUCAGGAACUAAUUUAGAACAACUGAAAUUUAAGCUGCUUGCAUUCAUCUAGGAAAUACUAACAGGAGUAACUAUUUGCUCUCUACUAGCACCCCGUCUUUAGUUUCACAUGAAUGAUAAUCCAGGCUGCUUUUGCCUUAGGAGCCAGGAGUUAUGUUUCCCACUGACCUUCUACAGAGCCUUCCAAAAAUAAGGAACCAGGAGAGGGAUGGCACCAAGCGCCCAUGGAGUGCUGACGGCUCUUCCUGCUUUGCAUCAGAGAUGCUUUCAUAUUCUUAAAUGCUUUUCCAGUGUUUCUCUACAAAGAUGACCAUGAAAACACUAACUAAUGAAAGUCAAAUGCUUUUCAUUUUUUUCUGUUAAACAAUUCAAAUCCUUUUAUCUUCUAAAGAAAUAAUUUUAUUAUAUUCCAAAAACUCUCAGGAGUGACAUUUGAAACUAUCAGCUAAGAGUCUUCUUUUUAGGUAUUCACUUUUUAAGGUGCACAUAAAUAUUUUUCAAUGUCACAAGUAAAAUUUUAAUGACAUUCAUGGAACACACAGCUGUAAAAAUGAAGUGAUUGAUACACUGCAGUCUUCUCCUCCCUUUGAAGAAAGAGAGAGUAGGCACCUACACAGCAAGGCCAGGACAAAAUGACCUAAUAUUUAAUAUAAAAACUUGUGUGAUAUCCCCUCUUCUAGAGUUCCUUUCAUAUAGAAGAUAAGUAGGAAUACAGAAAAAUUGUUCCCUUUUAAGAUGACUUUUAACUCCAUACUAUUUGUUUUCAAUUCUCAACCAAAAGACCAAAUGGCACUGUACUUUUUUUUUAGUUUAAAAAAACCCAAGCAAAACCACACAAUUCCCUGCUACCAUUCUUGAAAAGCAAAAGCCUUUCACAAGGAAUAAUAUGAUAAAUUCAUCUUUGCAAGUGUCACUUGCUCAUAAAGGUAUUCUGUAUUUAAUUUUGGGAAAUGAAAAGAUGUGUCAGAAAAUCUUAAUUAGUAGAUUUGCCAUUUAUCAGACAUUCUGCUUUACUACCUUUGUUUUCACUCCUGCAAAUGCUUUUUGCUAAGGCACAAUAGACUUCUUUUCAUUAGGAAAUAUUAAUUGUUUUAAUUGUUUGGAAUUUCAUACUCUGUGCAGGUGUGAAAGGCUCCAGUGACUAUUCCUUCAAGUGGUGUACAUUUCAGUGGUAAAACACCACUAAUUAUCCAGGCAUAAAUUACAUUUUUCCCUUAUUUUUAAAAAAAAAACAAAACAAACCCCAAAGACACACAGACCCUCACCCAGUCCUGCAGGGGUUUUAUGUAUUGCUGCCAUUUUUGUAUAGUAAAUUCCAUAUUCUUAUUUCCACAAAAACAAUUUCACUACCAAUUUUAUUCAGAUAGCUGCUGCUUUAAGAUAUUUUCAGAUUACAGACCCAUUCCACCCAACAAUGAAUUUAAAUAACAUAACCAUUAAGAGCAUGAAAACAAGGCAUUAAGAAGUCACAGCUCAGCUAUAGCACAGCAAUCUGUUGAAAACUCAGUGAACACAAGGUUACUCAAACCUCCUUUUUUUAGUGCCUUGUUAAACUGCACUUAUGUCUUACCCUACAGACUCACACAAUAAAGUCAUGAACAAUGGUGAAAUCAUCCCCACUGUCGACUGGCUUGGCACAACAGAUGAGCUACCUAAAAGAAACCCUGUCUGGAAGAAGGGAUGCACAUUGCCAUCCCAAAUGGGGGGACAUUUUUACCCUGCUCCCAUCACAAAAUUCCUAGAGCUGAAUUUACAUUAUUACUGUUGGAUUUUCCUGCAAAGGUGCACAUGAAUUUACAGCUGAUGAACUAAUCAUUUAUUCUUCUUGGUAAAAAAAACUAUUGUUCUGAGUACUGAAGGUCUAAAUGACACCCAAAGGUACAGGACUUUAGAUGGUAGUGUGGGGGAGCUUUGCCAAGAGCCCCAGAGGAGCUGCAAACUGAACAAGAGCAGAAGAUGUCUUUGCACUGACAUGCCACAAAGAGGAGAGCUGACAAAAAAAAUAAUUCUCUAGGGCUCACUUGAACAUUGUCUCUGUUCACCAGUUGCAAAUGGAGAUAUCAGAGUUUCCUUUAUUAAUAUCAUGAUGCUACUAGAUGGCAUCAGAUAUUUACUAUUGCUAUACGACUCUCUUGGGUGCUCAUGAGCAAAAAGAAUCAGAUGAGCGUGAUCUACAGCACUUUUUAUCCACACUCUCCUCCCACCUCCAAAUUGUGAAUAUAGAAUAUUGUAAAGAUGUAGGGGCUAAAGCUGAUUUUAUAUAUAAUAUGCUAUAUAACAUAGCCAGUCUCCACCCUUGUCACCUACUCCAAAGAAAAUGUUUGAAACUCUUUAUUUUACAGAGGAAUUGAAAUUAAAAAAAUUUCAAUUUUCUUCCUCAAAUACCCAAAUAUUUUGGGUAACUGAAGGCAUUGUUUGGAUGUGUAGGAAUCAGAAAAGCUAAGGCAGAGAUCGAACAGGACUUGCCAGGGGAUGUGAAGAAUAACAAAAAGGGAUUUUAUAAGUACAUAGGUCCAAAAAGGAAGGCCAAGGAGAGUGUACAGGAUGAAUAUGAGAAGAGACAUGGAGAAGGCUGAGGUUCUCAACGAAUUCCAUGUUUCAGUCUUCACUGGCAGUCAGGCUGCCCAUAUCCCUCAAGUCCCUCAACCUCCAGGUGGGGUUGGGGGAGCAGAGUCUCUCCCUCUGUAAACAAAGAGCGGGUUUGAGAUGACCUGAUGAAACAGAAUAACCUCAAGUCUAUGGGACCAGAUGAGAUGCAUCCUGGGGUCCUGAGGGAUUGGCUGAUGUUGUUGCCAAGCCACUCUCCAUCGUAUUUGAAAAGUCAUGGUGGUCAGACUUACCCAGUGACCGAAAAAAGGGAAAUACCACUCCUAUUUCUAAAAAGGGGAGAAAGGAAGACCCUGUGAAAUACAGACCAGUGAGCCUCAUCUCUGACCUGGGAAGAUCGUGGAACAGAUCCUCGUGGAAGCAAUGCUAAGACACAUGCAAGGCAAGGAGAUGAUCUGAGACAGACAGCAUGGCUACAGUAAGGGCAAAUUGUGCCUGACAGUCUGGUGGCUUUCUGUGAUGGAGCUGACAAAGGAAGACAGACUGAUGACAUCUACCUAGAUUUCUGUAAUGUCUUUUAUAGAGUCCCAACAUGACAUCCUUAUCUCCAAAUUGGAGACAGAUGGAUUUCAUGGAUAGACUAUUCAGUGGAUAAGGAAUUGUCUGGAUGGAAGCAACUGGAGAGUUGUGAUCAAUGGCUCUAUGUCCAGGUGGAGGACGGUGAAAAGUGGUGUUCCUCACGUCUCUGUCUUGAGACCAUUGUUCUUCAAUAUCUUCAUCAGUGACAAAGACAGUGAGAUCAAGUGCACCCUCAGCAAGUUUGAAAAUGACCUGAAGCUGGGCAGUGCAGUGUCACAGCAGAAGGAAGGGAUGCCACCCGGAGGACCUGGACAAACUUGAGAAGUGAGCCCACAAGAACCUGGUGAAGUUCAACAAGGCAAAGUGCAAGGUCAGUGAAGUAUUUGGCCUUGAUAUCAUGAAGACAACAGAGCUUGAUUCACAGUGGCAGCAUCUUGUAAACAAUGAAGUCCAUGUAUGUGGACAAUGUCAAGAAAUUAUAAUUUUUAUUUGUAUUCUUAUGUAAGCAAUCAUCUCUAACUUCCUAAAAACAAAGCCUGUUUCCUAACAGGUUGCAGAGGGGGGACCUUUUGCCCCACUCUGCACUGCUUCUGUGACAGUGUUUGAUGAGAAGAUAUUCUUAAGUUUAAAAAAAGUGAACAACAAGUUUCUGUCAAUUCAUUAAUGUUACUUGUGCUACCUAACAGGACUCAAUGAAAAUCUUAUCUAAAAAAAGUUACAUAGUUUUUAUUAGGUAUGUAGAGUUAACAGAAGCACAGCUCCUAUAUACCCACUAGGAAUGAUUCCAUCAACGUAAGUCACCUUUUCAAUCUCCCAAGAUUGUUGCAAUAAACUGAGCUUCCACCACAAUCUUAUGCUUUCACAGAAUUACACCAUCUUAUAUCUCCCCAUUACAGGAUUACAAAAACAAUUGCCAGUAGCAACAUUAUUAAAAUAAAAGGUCACUCUUUUGCAUAAAAAGGUGUAGCACAUAAGGAAACUCUGCAAUUACAGUGUGGAUCCAGAUCAGAUUUUCCUCCAGGUCUCCUCAGACCCUUCACACAACCACCACACUGGGCCAAACCCUGCCCUGCACCACGAGCCAUGUAUCCAGCACACUGGUCCUGGGGCUGGGGGACCCCGCAAGCUGCAAGCCAUCACGAGCUGUCAACAGUCUCCACAAAUCUCACAGACAUCUGUGGCUUAUCAAGCCAGCAGCAUUUUUCCUACAUUAAUCUCCACUAGGCUUGCCCCAGCUUUCAUUUCAAAAGACUUGGCAUGGUAUCUUCAAAAAAAAAAAAAAAAAAUUAAAAAAAUUGCUCGAUUUCUUGAGAUGCAGCUGGUUAGGAGGACCGCCUUUGAAAUCUGAGCACGUCGCAGAGACGUCGACAUGCUCACUGCAGGCAGCUUGCAGCACAGGGGACAGCACUAAUGACUGCAAAAGGCUUUUAGAUGCUGCCUGUGGGCGAGCCCUGCCCUUCCUUUGGGGGAGUUUGGGGAGAGCUUUAAGUGGCUGUUGUGCUGGGGGCUCAUUUGGAUACAGUGCACUUGUGUUGAACACCCUUCACCAGCCAUCAGUUCUCCCAGCAGCUCUCAAAAUCCAGCUGGAAGGGUUGCAGCACCCUCCCACUGGUCACCAGCAAUGUUGGUAUACUUGUUCUCCAAUGCUGGCUUUGCAGACUGUGGUUGAAUUAAGGCAGCAGCCUUCACUGGUGAUGUGAUGAAAGCCCAGGAAACUGUUCCAGCACCGUGGACCCCUCACCCCACUGGUCAUCCCGUGUCCCACAGCCCUGGCCACAACAUGGUUCCCAUGCCCCCAACUGCACCUGAUGCUCAGGGACAUCCCAGCCUCUGCAAACAGGCUCUUGAGGACACAUCUUCUCCUCACUGCCCUGGAGGUGCUCCUUGUUCCUUUACAUGUCAGCUCAUGUUACACCACAUUUUAAAAGGCAAAGACACUUCACUGCACCACUCUUACUAGAAACUAAAGUUCAUCUUUGCUCAACAGAAAUUAAUCACCAGAGGUUAAUCUCCUGUUAGAACCAGACAGCGCCAACCACAGGCUUUUCUCAGAGCUCUCAUGAAACAGUUUCUGUUAGAUCCAAAACAUCUCAAUAGAGAGAGCAAGUAUGUCCUACUCUUUUCUUGCCUUUUUUUUUUUUUCCAAAUAACCUGAAGGAGCUCUUAUUACCUUUUCAUAAAAAUCUUAGGGUGUAAGCAGGAAUUACACUCAUUUUCUUUGCAUGGUCAAGAAAUAUUAGCACAACAAAAGACUAGCCACCAGUGUCUCAGUUUACCUGGCACCUUUCAAUGUCCCUAUUGAGUGCAGGUGGGGCAAGUAGACUGGUGUCCUUAUGGGUCAGAAAGCACAGGAGGAGGGAUGGCUGUGCUCCACACAGACGGAAGAAAAAGGACUAAUGGUGUUUACAGUUACAGUCCAUUUUCAGCUCCAGCUGUCUCAAAGCAGAGUGACAUAAAACACAUAGGUUCAUUAUAUUUCACAAGAGGAUAUCCAUAUCCUUUCAUAUUACAUUAAAAAUGUCAAAAUAUCUUUCUGUCCAGAGUGUGCAUUCCAGGAAAAGGUCAGAGCAGCAUUUUCAAUGUUGAGCACGUGGUGCUCAUCACUAGACCAACUCCUCCCUGCCACGAGCAUCUCAAACUGAGUUAUCAAUUCAGAUAUCCUUCCCUCUACAGCAGAGGGAUGAUUUUAAAACCAGACAGUGGGUGUAUAUUUAUGUAUACACACACACACAAGAGUACCAUUUCAUUUGAAUCAAGGUACAUUAAAAAUUUAAGGCAAACUUUAGAUCCAUCUGAACACAAUCUUCUCUGAUCAAGAGAAUGUUAAAAAUUUAAUUUCUAAUUUCUCCAGAAAUUCAAGUAAGCAAGUACAUUGUUAAUAUUUUCAAGAAAAGAACCAGUAGCUCACUUAUCUCUUUAUAGUGGUCUACACAUGUACUGUGAAAGAUUUAUUGCAUCAUGGAUUUGAUCCCUCUAUGGGCCAUUCACUUAAAAGUUAGAUUCUAUGAUCCUUAUGGGUCCCUUCCAACCCAGAAUAUUCUGUGAUUCUGUGACUUUAACGCUGAAGUAGCUUGGAAACAGCUUUAAGUAUCACUGUCCAAUGGCUCCAUUAAAUGCGUGGGACACCAAGAUGCUCGUGGCUUCAUGUAGGCAGGAAGAAUUGUGACUAACAAAUGGACUAACUUAAGGUGUCUUUUUAUACAAAACUUUAGAGCCAAUUCAUCCUGGUCCUGAAGUAGCUGAAGAUUUAUAGCUCACUUCCUGCCUGAAGACAGGGUUGUAGUUAGGAGUUGUUGGAGUCCCAUCAACUUUGACACAGGAAUUUGUCACAUUCAGAGACAGGAAUUUAAUAAAAAGCGAGUUUUAUUAAGAGGACUGCCAGAAACACUCAAACCAGUAUGUCAGGGAAACUCUGGUCUUGCCUUUAACUCGUCAGCAGCAGUCACAAAAUAUAACUCUGCACCAAUUAUCUGAUGAUUAAUCUGAAAACAAAUCUUCCCACUAGCCACGUUUCUUUAAAAAUUAGAUUUUUAUGUAACUAAUGUGAUAAGUACUCAAAAAAAAGGAACCUCAGCCCUCUGCACUGAGUUUAGAGUGUCCAGUCACUUCUGGGUGACAUUUCCAAAGGAGAAGAGAGCCUUGGGACACUGUGAUGAGCACUACAGGGAUCACAGAAUCACAGAUACAUUUAGUUUGGAAAAUACCUCUGAGAUCAUUAAGUCCAAUCUUAGGCUGAUCACCACUUCGUCAACUAGACCAUGGCACUAAGUGCCACACCAGUCAUUUCUUGAAUACCUCCAGGGAUGGUGACCCCACUAUCUCCCUGGGCAGCCCAUUCCAAUGCCAGACAACCUUUCAGUGAAGAAAUUCCUCCUGAUGUCCAGGAUCUUGCAUUAUUCUCCCAGUUCCAUAAUGCAAACCCAAGUUUUCAAAUCUGAUGAUAACUCUUAAAUUCCAUUUUCAGCCAUAGGAAAGAAAAUAAAUUUUUCUAAAUUAAAGAAUCCUUUCCCUCAGCAAAAUCAAUAGUUCCCCGCUGAUAAACCCCAACAGACAGCUUAUUCUUAGAGACAAAUUUGAAAGAAUGACACCAAACAAUAAGCUCAGCCUUUUCACUCUACUUUAAUAUUGCUCUUUCUCUGAGCUAUUGUAAAUCUUUAUAGAGUUAUGGAGACACCUAUCUCCAUAUCCAGACUACCAGCUUUUAUAAAUUGAAAUAACACCACUGAGGUCACCUUUACAAUUCCAGGACCAAACCUACGAACCAUCAAUUGCUUCUUCUCACUAUAUCUUUAAAGGAAGUUGUGAACAUCAAAGAACAUGUAUAAUGAAAAGUGAAAUGCAACUCCAUAGGAAGACACUUGCCUGCCAACCGUGUCCUGGGGGUCAUCCGGCACAGCAUCGCCAGCUGGUCGAGGGAGUGGAUUGUCCUACUCUGCUCUGCACUGUGGCGGCCUCACCUUGAAUACUGAGUGCAGUUUUGGGCACUGCAAUAUAAGAAAGAUAUUAAGCUAUUAGAGAGUGUCCAAAGGAGGGCAACAAAGAUGGUGAAGGGCCUUAAGGGGAAGCUGUAUGAGGAGCGGCUGAGGUCACUUGGUCUGUUCAGGGGACUGAGGGGAGUCCUCACUGUGGUUACAACUUCCUCGUGAGGGGAAGAGGGAGGUAGGCACUGAUCUCUUCUCUAUAGUGAUCAGAUGAACCCAAGGGAAUGGCCUGAAGUUGUGUCGGAGGCAGUUUAGGCUGGAUAUUAGAAAGGAGUUCUUCACCCAGGGUGGCUGGGCACUGGAACAGGCUCCCCAGGGAAGUGGUCACAGCACUAAGGCUGACAGAGUUCAGGAAGCUUUUGGAUGAUACUCUCAGGCACAUGGUGUGACUCUUGGGGAUGGUCCUGUGCAGGGAUAAGAGUUGGACUCGAUGAUCCUUUUGGGUCCCUUCCAACUCAGCAUAGUCUGUGAUUCUGUGUGAUUCUGUGACUGCUCUUAACUCACAGAUAUUUUUCUUAUUUUUUACCUUUCCCCUACGCUACCUCAUCUUAACCUAUUUCUUUAUCUCAAGCACUGUUAUUCCUAAUCUUUUGGUCUGCUAGAGACUAGACUUCCAUUUUUUUCUGAUACCCAUGCAUGUCCAGCCAUAGUGGUCCAUCAACUGCUUGCCGUGAACUGGACUCAUUUCUAUUUUUUAUUUUAAAUAGUCUUACCCAUUCUAAGAGGGGACAUUGCUUCUCUUGUUCUCGUUGCAAUAAGAUUUUGUAUACUUAUGUAUAUCAAGUACAUAUUUGGAUGACAUGUUAGUUACAUUUUAUUUCAUCAGACCCUCUUGAAACUUGAGAAUUUCAAACUGAAAUUGUAUGGAGUGCUCAGGAUUUGAAAGCCUUCCCACUUAAUAGACGGUUUUCUCUCCUGACUCAGGAAGCUGACUACAUCCUUGUCAGCUUUCCUUGGCUCUGGGUUUGCCUGCCACCAACUAAACUAUAGAAAAACAAAAUACGUUUCCUUUUCAUCUCCUCUGUUCUCAGGCCUGUUUUAGGUCAUGUUUUAGUAGCCCUUGUUCAUAGUAGCUUUUGCAUACAAAUCUGUAGGGUUGUUAAGCUGUUAGGUUCAUGCUUCCCCCAGGCUUAAAGUCAACUGAAAACAGUUUCGGGCGUAAUACAAGUGUUUGCUUUUGUAGCAGUAGCUUACAGCACUCCUUGCUGUAUUAAACAAUGCUUUCCAGCCCUAUUGCACUCUCAGUACUCAGAGCACGUUACUGACAUCAUUGCCUGAUGUCACCAAACAACCCCACCUGUACAAAACCAAUAGUUACAAUUUUCUUUAAUUGUCCCAGGCUCUUUAAAGCUUCUUUGCUCUUCUUAUCAGUCUUCAGAGAACCACAGAAUGGUGUGGGUUGGAAGGGACCUUUAAGAUCAUUUCAUUGCAACACCCUUGCCAUGGGCAGGGACACCUUCCACUAGAUCGGGUUGCUCAGAAACCCAUCCAACCUGGCCUUGAACUCUGCCAGGGAUGGGGCAUCCACAGGUUCACUGGGCAAGCUGUUCCAGUGCCUCACCACCCUCACAGUAGAGAACUUCUUUCUAAUUUCUUUCUAAUAUCUUAUCUAACCUACUCUCUUUCAGUUUAAAGCCAUUACCCCUGGUCCUGUCACUACAGUCUCAAGUCUACAACUUUUCUCUCAGCUUUUUCUUGUCAUAUCUCCUACGUGUCCCAUCUUUUUUUAUUACAGCUUUUAAUUAAUUAAAAGCAGUGAAGAAAAGUUUUAUUGUUAGCUGUUUCCCACCCCAAAUAGCGUUCUUUCCCCACAUCAUAUUGAAAGAGACAGGGUAUACCCAACACCACCAAGAACAGUGUAGGUCAACUUCAAAGCAGGUUCCUAUUGACACACUAAUUCCCUGUCACCUCAGAGAUUUCACGUGCCAAUUUCUUCAAUAAUUAGGCUCUGCAAGCCAAGAGGUGAAGUUAUUAUUUUAAUAUUAGCCUUCCUUUUAUCUUUGAAAAAGAGCAUUUGUUUUGGCACUAUCAAGACAAACCUUAAUAAACUGACUGGCAAACAGUAUGUUUAGCAAUGAAAAUGAUACCCGGACAGGGAUUAUAAUGUAAGCAAUAAGAGGGAAUAGAGAGAUUUAGGAAAGGAUGUGAUUUAUAAUGACUUUAAGAAGGAUAAGCUUCUACAUCUGUGAUUGCUUGAUUCUAUAAUAUUUUAAUUGAUUAUCAGAGCUAAGAGGUUUAUUUUUUCAUGUGAAUAAAAGCUGUUUUACUUCAA